GCCGCAAUGGCUCAGUGGUUACAGCGAUGUCCCCACAGGUUCAGCUUACAGCUGGCUUGGUCAGGUACAAUCUUCGGAUGCCCGUGUUCGAAUCACGGUUGUCGAG